GGUAAGGCACUUUUCAUCGGACCAUGGCUCAAAUUUGCUGCCACGUUCGGAGCUCUAGGAAGCUUCCAGGGGCUUCAGGAGGCACAGAGCAAUCAGCGGAAGGUGACGGGGGGGUUGGGUUUGAAGCUGCAGCCUCUGUUGUAGAUCCUCGCACCUCCGCCUCAUGUGAGGACUGCUGGGAAAGUGAGAAUGAGCGCUGCUAAAGAGGAGCUAAUUACAUUUCUGUAGCUAACAAAAAAAAAGGCAGCGGGAAAAAGCCAGGCAAGGAGGGAAACACAAGAGACGGAGAGGGGUGACGGAGAAAAGAGAAAAGGCGGGAGGGAGGCAGAGAGAUGGUGGGGGCGGAUACAUUUGUCACCAUGCCUGUGUGAUGUUCUUCUCGAGCUGCUAAGAGGGUCAAAGAGACAGAAAGAGCAAAGGAGGAGAGAAUGAACGUGUGCAUGUGGAGGAGAAAGGAACAGCGAGAGGGAGAGAGACGGAAUGUGAGUGAGAGGGAGGGGGCUGUGGUGGCGUUCGGGAGAGGGAGGGAGAAUGGAGAGAAUGAGAGCGAGGGAGAAAGAGAGAGGGAAACAGAAAGAGAGGGAGGAGAGGAAAGCAAAGGAUUUCUCAGAGCCCUGUGAACGCUGCUGAAAGCUGUUAGCUGCUAGCCGCUCAGUAAGGUGGAUAAAGAACAAAUAACGCCACAGCAGAGGCACCGGGCGACCACUGCAAGAACAAAACAGGGGCUUAACCCAGGCUAGGGCUGGGGAAAUAAAAACCACGGAACACGGACUACGAGACAAUGUAUGAGAGAGAGAGAGGGUGAGCGAGAGAGGGAAGAGAGAGAGGGGAGGGACGCUGGGGAUGGAAAGCGCCGUCUGCUCUGCGUAACACACACACAGCUCAGCACAGCUCACGGAGAUGCCGCUGUAGACCUGCUCUCGCGCUCCCGCUCCAUUCAGCUUUCUCUGUAAUUUUUUCCUCCUUCGGGGCUCGGGGACGGCCGACUGUUGGCCAGCUGGCCCUCAUGUGGGCCCCGGCCCAGCGACCCCUCUAUUUUGAGGACCCUGGGGCAUGUCGCCUCCCAAGGCUAGCCUCACACACUGUAGGAUAAACAACAGGGAGCGAAAGGUGGGCGUUCAGGAUGGGCACGACGACCAUCAGCAUUGAGGAGGUGCGAGCGCUCGAAGGGAAGGAGGAGAGGGAAGAGUCCAUCCUGGCUUUGCUGGGCAUCAUCGGGACUUUCCUUAACCUCUUUGUCAUCGUCUUCGUCUACAUCUACACCACCCUGUGAGGUCUCAGAGUUUGGGAGGGAGAAGCAACAAAAAAAAAAAAACAAAUAUAGGUGACUGUGCUUGGCCAUAGGUGAAGGUGUGAAAGAGGGAGAGGGUGGGAGUGGGUGGGGCCAGAGGACAGAGAUAUGUUGGAAGACGGGGAGGACGAAUACCACAGUGAAGACCUGGGAAGAUAACACUGGGCCGCACUGGAUGGACAGUAGGGGGCUCUAAGGACAGAUCAUGGGACUUUAUUGGCUGGACAGCAAGUACACAAAAGGUUAAGGAACACUGGACCAUCCAGGGAGGUAACAAAACAACAGCAGAGAGCAAAAGGUGAUUAACAUUGGACAAAAAAUGAAUGAAUUUGGGCAAAUUAAGUAAGCAGCAGAAAGGGACUCUGUGUAAGACCAAACAAGGGACUGUGGAUCUGCUGUACUGGAGUCCUACUUCAUCAACAGGACUACUUGAUGAUCACUCUAGGACACAGAAGAGGGUACUCUUAUGCCAAAACAUAUGCUGAAACCCUGCACUUAAGAAAUUGGAUAUAAAUUGGUGACAUGCAUCGACCAGCACUGGAACCCUGUGGGUCAAUGUCAAAGAUUGGCCCUCUUACAUCCAUAUCUUCUGGGCUUGCUCUUGAUAUCUCAAUCACAUUGGCAAGAAGGAAAUUACAUUCUCCCUGGUACCGGCAAUUAUGUCAAGUCGCGUCGAGCUUCCAUGAUGUGGACUUCAAACUUGCGAAGUGCGUCUCAAACAGAUGCACACUCUGCGGAAAGUAUCACAGGGAAGGCUAUGUCAGUGUUCCCUUAUUACUGCAACAACGAACAAAAGUGAAAGAUCGGACUGUUCCCGCUCGCCAACGCUUCCAGCAGAAGAGCUGAGAUGGGAUCUGCAAUAAGAACUGUGUGUGGAAGAGAGGGGGUUGGGAGAGAUCGAGAAAUAUUUUUCUACUUUAAAUUAAAACGGAACUGGUUCGUGGGGAUGAAGGUACGAGGAAAGAAAGCAAGUAACAUCUCUUGGAUGGUUAGAAACACUACCAGAUAUGUGAGGUAUACAGGCUAUGCUGAAGCUAUUGGACUGACUGGUCCUUGUCUUUUUUUCUUUUUAUUCCAGCAUGGUUCAACUUGCUGUCCGACUGCCAGCAGAGAAGGAAAAAAGGACAAACCCUUGUCUAUUGCCUCUCCCUGAUGUCAGGGUGGGGCUAAACAUACAUUUCUGUACAAAGGACAAAAGCUUUUAUAUGAAUAUAUUAUUACCUAAUAGAUGUACUGUGCAAUAGAACAUUUGAUCAAUAAAAUGAAAUGUAUUCAGAGGGUUA